CACCUACCAGCCCUCUGAGGAGAUAACACAGUUCAGCUACGUGGCGCUUAUUGUACGCCAGGAACGGGGCGCUUUUCCCAUUUGGCCUUUUUGGGACAAGGAAAACAAGCAGCAAGAAUGAAGCUGUCCAGUGUCCCACAGAUCGCACAUAAUGCAAAAUCCAGCAGCCGGCUUCCGCAGCGUUUUUUGCCCCCCCACGGUGUCCUGCUGUUGCUUUACCUCAGCUCCCACUAACAACUAGGCAGCCACCCUUGGAGCCCAGCGUCACUGCAGGUGAACCAUUCAGCUCGUGGGAACACUUGCAAGCCCUCAUUCAUCAUCAGAACCCCUGCCGCCUGGAGCCCGUCUCUCCCUGGCCGGUUGGGCUUGAGGAAAUUAGGUGCUGUAAAAAAGGACUCUGCCGGUGCUGCCCUCCUCCUGCUCCUGGGGUUUGCGGUGGUUCAAGUUCCUGCCUAGGUUUCGGGAGUACUUCUAUUUCUGGUGGAGCUUCUGAGUUGCUGCAAUAUGAUGGAAGCCAUUUGACCUCGGCAAUGAUCCGUUUGCAGAGAAAAGUGUCUUGAGACCUAAGAGUUCUCACAGCGCCCGGAAACUCUGGCCAGCAGGAUGCUGCGUGUACACUUUAGCUGCAGGCUCUGAGCUCCGGCGGCGCUUUCUCCCUGGUGGGGGCAGGGAACACCCCUGACUGCUGCUUCUGUGCUCUCAGACCGGAGCAAGCAGCUGUGGGCUGCUUGCUAAGGUGCGCUUGCUAAGGUGCGCUUGCUAAGGUGCGCUUGCUAAGGUGCGCUGGAGUUUGUCAGCCCAGCUUUGGCCCAGGAAUAAACGCUUCACCAAGAACGGAAGAGAAUAAGGCCUCUUAGGAGGGAUGGGGGUUUGAUAACCGUACAACUACAAUCAGCGCUGAAAGGAAGUUUAUGCUUCGUACCUGCCAAGUUCUGUAAACCCCUGGGAACUUCCUUUAUUUCAUACACGCCUUAGAAACUUAGAGAUUCCAUCCAGCUUAGAAUUGCUUUUGAUCUUCCCAAUCCUCUAAGGCACUCAUGUGACAAGCAGGGAUACUGGGGCCCUGUCAACAGAAACUCUGGCCCUUUUCUGAAGGCGCUUGUGAGGACAGAAAGCUCUGACGGUAGAAAUGAAGGAGAGAGAGGGAGGGAUGGAGAGAAGGGGAUGUUUUUAAUGGCUGAACAGGGUGCUUCAUGGAGGUUCCCAGCCCGUAUCCUCCAUUUUCUCUUCUGUGGUUUCAGUUAUACCCAUUUAAAAAAAAAAAAAAACUAAAUGGAAGAUUUCAGAGAGAAGUGGAUGUCAGAAGGCCAACAAUACUCUAACGCUACAUUGCCAUCCCUGAGUCACCUCAUCACACAAAUACUGCAUGACAUCACAACACCACGCGAGCACCAGGCUCAGAGCUACAAGGGAAUGAAGGAGCGGAAUGCUUCUCAGUCCCCAUCCCUCCCUAGAACUGAUGACUGAGCACCUGCGUCCCUAAGUGUGGAAGAUUUGCAACCUAACAGGCAGCAGCCCCGGGCUCCUGUGGCCACCAACCAGCAGGAAUGAGAUAAGGAAGGAAAAUGACGAGGCCUCUGCCACCAGAUCUCCCUCUUAGCCAUCUGAAACGUUUGUAUCCCUCUAGAUAGACGCAUGUGCUCUCCUUUUUUGGCCCCCACACGGCUAAUACCACACUUGAGCACUUUUUGAGGCUCAUUUUCCUUCCCCGAGUUCUUGAACAAAGAAGAAACUGAGGAAGACCUGAGCUUUGUGUUGCAUUUUUCCUUCCCAGCAGUGACUUGGAGAUCAAUGUCAGGUGCCCCUGAAGCACAGAAGUGACGGUCACACUUCCCAUUUUGUUCUUCUCACGUGGUCCCACCCACCCCUCUCUCUCAGUGUGUCCACCCCAUGAUGCUCUUGGGAAGUGAGGUGCUGACACAUGGCAGCAUUCCAGAGUCCUGGUCACUAAUUAACAACAGAGAGCAGGGCUGCCCUUCCAUCACGGCCUGUGACCUGGGCUCCCCAGGACUCAGUGGUUUGCAUUCCCCCCGCCCUUUGCCCUCAGCUCAGCUGAUUCUGCCACGGUUUCUACAGUGUUUCUC